rnacentral:ribozyme from 13 species
AAAAGAAAAAGAAAAAGAAAAGAAAAAGAAAAAAUGUUGGAGAUAACAUUGAGAAUGCCAUCGAUGGUUGUUUGUGGGCUUCUUGCUGCU